rnacentral:rRNA from 1 species
GUGGGGAAUAUUGGACAAUGGGCGAAAGCCUGAUCCAGCAAUGCCGCGUGAGUGAUGAAGGCCUUAGGGUUGUAAAGCUCUUUUACCCGGGAUGAUAAUGACAGUACCGGGAGAAUAAGCUCCGGCUAACUCCGUGCCAGCAGCCGCGGUAAUACGGAGGGAGCUAGCGUUGUUCGGAAUUACUGGGCGUAAAGCGCACGUAGGCGGCUUUGUAAGUUAGAGGUGAAAGCCUGGAGCUUAACUCCAGAACUGCCUUUAAGACUGCAUCGCUUGAAUCCAGGAGAGGUGAGUGGAAUUCCGAGUGUAGAGGUGAAAUUCGUAGAUAUUCGGAAGAACACCAGUGGCGAAGGCGGCUCACUGGACUGGUAUUGACGCUGAGGUGCGAAAGCGUGGGGAGCAAACAGGAUUAGAAACCCUUGUAGUCC